rnacentral:rRNA from 1 species
GAGGAAUAUUGGUCAAUGGGCGAGAGCCUGAACCAGCCAAGUAGCGUGCAGGAUGACGGCCCUAUGGGUUGUAAACUGCUUUUGUAUGGGGAUAAAGUCAGUCACGUGUGAUUGUUUGCAGGUACCAUACGAAUAAGGACCGGCUAAUUCCGUGCCAGCAGCCGCGGUAAUACGGAAGGUCCGGGCGUUAUCCGGAUUUAUUGGGUUUAAAGGGAGCGUAGGCUGGAGAUUAAGUGUGUUGUGAAAUGUAGACGCUCAACGUCUGACUUGCAGCGCAUACUGGUUUCCUUGAGUACGCACAACGUUGGCGGAAUUCGUCGUGUAGCGGUGAAAUGCUUAGAUAUGACGAAGAACUCCGAUUGCGAAGGCAGCUGACGGGAGCGCAACUGACGCUGAAGCUCGAAGGUGCGGGUAUCGAACAGGAUUAGAUACCCUGGUAGUCCGCACAGUAAACGAUGGAUGCCCGCUGUUGGUACUUGGUAUCAGCGGCUAAGCGAAAGCAUUAAGCAUCCCACCUGGGGAGUACGCCGGCAACGGUG